rnacentral:rRNA from 1 species
GACGUAGGGGGCCAGCGUUGUUCGGAAUUACUGGGUGUAAAGGGUUCGUAGGCGGCCAACUAAGUCGGACGUGAAAUCCCUCGGCUUAACCGGGGAACUGCGUCCGAUACUGGAUGGCUUGAGGUUGGGAGAGGGAUGCGGAAUUCCAGGUGUAGCGGUGAAAUGCGUAGAUAUCUGGAGGAACACCGGUGGCGAAGGCGGCAUCCUGGACCAAUUCUGACGCUGAGUGAGCGAAAGCCAGGGGAGCAAACGGG